rnacentral:rRNA from 1 species
AACGAACGCUGGCGGCAUGCCUAACACAUGCAAGUCGAACGAACCCUUCGGGUCUUUUCUCGCAUGGUUUCGUAACGCGUCGGAAUCUUCCCUUCGGUUGGGAAUAACUGAGAGAAAUUUCAGCUAAUACCUUAUAAUGUCUUCUAACCAAAGAUUUCUCGCCCCGGGUGGUGCCCGCGUAGCAUUAGGUAGUUGGGAGGGUAAUGGCCUACCAAGCGGACGAUGCUUAGAUGGUCUGAGAGGAUGAUUAGCCACACUGAGACUGAGACACGGCACAGAAUCUUACGGAAUGCAGCAGAGCGGAACAGAGCAAAAUCGGGGAAAGGAUGAACGAGUAAUGACGGGUGAAUGAUGAAAGAAUUAAGGAUGUAAAGUGUAAUUAACCGGGAAGAUAAUGACAGUACCGAGAGAAAAAGCCACGGCUAACUACGUG